rnacentral:rRNA from 1 species
GAUGAACGCUGGCGGCGUGCCUAAUACAUGCAAGUCGAGCGAACAGACGAGGAGCUUGCUCCUCUGGCGUUAGCGGCGGACGGGUGAGUAACACGUGGAUAACCUACCUAUAAGACUGGGAUAACUUCGGGAAACCGGAGCUAAUACCGGAUAAUAUAUUGAACCGCAUGGUUCAAUAGUGAAAGACGGUUUUGCUGUCACUUAUAGAUGGAUCCGCGCUGCAUUAGCUAGUUGGUAAGGUAACGGCUUACCAAGGCAACGAUGCGUAGCCGACCUGAGAGGGUGAUCGGCCACACUGGAACUGAGACACGGUCCAGACUCCUACGAGAGGCAGCAGUAGGGAAUCUUCCGCAAUGGGCGAAAGCUUGACGGAGCAACGCCGCGUGAGUGAUGAAGGUCUUCGGAUCGUAAAACUCUGUUAUUAGGGAAGAACAAAUGUGUAAGUAACUAUGCACGUCUUGACGGUACCUAAUCAGAAAGCCACGGCUAACUACGUG